rnacentral:lncRNA from 1 species
UGCAUUGAUUGAAGAAAGCUUUAAUUAAAAUAAGUAUAUACAAAAAUAAAAAUAAAAAAAGAGUUUAAAUGAAUAGUUUGAAUCAACAGAUAAGAAAAGCUAUGAUAAUUUUGAAUACUUUCAUGCCUAGAUAAAUUAAGUUGAAAAAUUAUAAUUUGAAGGCAAAGUAUUUCAAAGAUUACUACAAAGCAUAUCCUGCAACAACAAAUGCUUCAUCCAAAACAGUAAAUCAAAAUAAUAAAGCACCAAACUUGUAUAGUGCCCACCAUUAUAAGUCACUAAAAGCAAGAAAAACAAAAUGACUUAAUUCAUUGAAUUCACGAAUGUUAACAUCAGACAUGAGUUUAAAACUUUGCCUUCGGAAGGAUGUUCAAAACCAGAAUCCACAAUAGAUCGAAACAGC